ACAAGAAAGAACACUGGUCUGCAGAGUGAGCCUUGGGUCAUGACUCUCAGGCGACGCACAAUGUGCCAUUGGGGUGCCCAGGCCGACAGCCUAAUUUGGCUUUUGGUUGAAGGCCAAGCUGGAAAAGGAAGGGGCAGGUGCCUUGUAAGAAACUGAGUUCACUUUGUAGCGUGGAGCCUUUCCAAAGUGGGCAAGUUUCCAUCUCUUGCUGGCAAUGGGCACAGGGCAAGUGCUCUACAGAAUGAAGAAAGAAGGUUCCCAUUGUCAGUGAUACAAAGACCAUGGACAAGGAGGAUCCACACCCAAGGCCAGGUGAAAAGGGCAAGAAUCCUGAAAAGAUAAAGAAGACACUACUAAACACGAUUGCCCUGGGUCUGAAAGCAACAAGGACGGUGUGGUCAUGAGACUUGUUUACAUCAUAUGAGAUCAUAGUAUAUAGUUUUAAAUAGAAGACAUUUGGAGCUGGAGAGAUGCUCAGUGGUUAAGCGCACUUGCUGCCCUUUUAAAGGACCCAGGUUCAGUUCCCGC